GCAUAGCCAGCACAUGCUUCAGUGCUCUGGUAGUGUUUAUAUCCCUGUGAGUUUAACACUUCAUGACUGAGAGCUGUCCUUCAUGACAACAGAACCCACAACAACCAUGACUUUUAUCACCAUCUUCAUCUGGAUACUUGCCCUCUAUCUCCAAGAGUCCAGAGGCCAGGUCACAGUGACCCAGACUCCUGCAGUGAAAGCUGUUUCAGUGGGUCACUCAGUCAGUCUCAGCUGUAAGACCAGCAGUGCUGUAUACAGUAACAGCAAUGGACACUAUUUGCACUGGUAUCAACAGAAACCUGGAGGAGCUCCUAAACUCCUAAUAUACUGGGCUAAAACCCUUCAGUCUGGGACUCCAUCUAGAUUCAGUGGCAGUGGAUCUGGGAGUGACUUCACUCUGACCAUCAGUGGAGUCCAGACUGAAGAUGCAGGAGAUUACUACUGUCAGAGUUACCACUACAUCAAUAGUAAAAACGUGUUCACACAGUGAUAUAGAGCCAUACAAAAACCUCCCUCAGUCAGACUGCACAGUGACAGUACUGAUACAGCUGGGACCUUCUGCAGGUGAUGAGGGGAGGAGAUGGUCCAGUACAAUGACAGGACGAAACGGUUCGGGAAAAAAAAAAA